rnacentral:rRNA from 1 species
CCCGCUGAACUUAAGCAUAUCAAUAAGCGGAGGAAAAGAAACUAACAAGGAUUCCCCUAGUAACUGCGAGUGAAGCGGGAAAAGCUCAAAUUUAAAAUCUGGCGGUCUUUCGGCCGUCCGAGUUGUAAUCUGGAGAAGCGUUUAUCCGCGUUGGACCGUGUACAAGUCUUCUGGAAGGGAGCGUCAUAGAGGGUGAGAAUCCCGUCUUUGACACGGACUACCAAUGCUUUUGUGAUGCGCUCUCGAAGAGUCGAGUUGUUUGGGAAUGCAGCUCAAAAUGGGUGGUAAAUUCCAUCUAAAGCUAAAUAUUGGCGAGAGACCGAUAGCGAACAAGUACCGUGAGGGAAAGAUGAAAAGAACUUUGGAAAGAGAGCUAAACAGUACGUGAAAUUGCUGAAUGGGAAACGCUUGAAGUCAGUCACGUUGACUCGGAAUCAGCUCUGCUUUUGCUGGGUGUACUUUCUUGUCAAUGGGUCAGCAUCAAUUUUGACCAUUGGAUAAAGUUGCUGGGAAUGUAGCAUCCUUUUGGAUGUGUUAUAGCCUGGUGAUGCAUACAGUGGUUGGGAUUGAGGAACUCGAUGUGUGAAAUAACACAUUCAAGGAUGCUGGCAUAAUGGCUUUAAUCGACCCGUCUUGAAACACGG